GAGCGAAGUUGGGCGCUUAACCGACUGAGCCACCCAGGUGCCCCUCCCGGUCCCAUGAUUCUUAGGAGAGAAUGCCAUUGUCUGUUUCAUUUUUUAAAGUCGCAGUGCGUGGGCAGGGUCACUGGCAGGUGUGCGGGUGAGGCAUAGUGCAGAAAACAAAUCUCACUUAAAACAUCACCUGGAGACAUGCUGUGAUCCUUGCAAUCCCAACAAUUGGAUAUUUCCCUAGCUACUUCCCCUGUAGAAAGAAGGACUUAUAUCACAAUAGUGCUUUUGUCAUAAUUUUUUAUAUAACGAGCAGAAUAAGCUCUGAGUGGAGGUUGUUCAUUCUUAACAUUUCUGGAUUCCUUUUCCAGAACUCAUGUAAUACUUUUAUGUUGUCACCAAAUAUUUAUUGCUUACAAUCCAGACCUUAUUUCCUGCCUGACUUAGGUGCAGUAGGACGUAGAAGCCACCAGGUGUCAGUGUUGCAGGUAACAUUUCAAAUUCCCCAGGUUGCAUCUGAUCCUGCCGGUGCAAAUAUUUUAGUAACAGGGGACAUGCUCCGAGGAAUCCCAUAGACUGUCCCUCCUGCCAGGAAGCCGCAGUGAACGGGACUAAGAAAUUCAAGUGAGUUGUCCAGAGAAAAAGAGCUGUUAAAAGGUGGAACCUGGCCUGAGGACUCCAAACCGUCUCCUGCCUACCCCCAGGAAGGACACCCUCUGCAGCCAUAUUGGCCAAAUGUUGUUUCCUUGAUGAGGAAACAGAAGCAGAGACAGCAAGAAGGUGGCUGAGUUGGGAUUUGAGACCAGACCAAGUGUCAGGGUCUGUGGCGUGGACGACAACACCAUGCUGUCACUGACCAGUUGAACCCCCACUAUGUAACCAGCGGCAUAGCUCCCUCAUCCCACAACACUUGACCGGAUACGGCUGAGCGGCUCCUGUCCCUGUGUCCAUGUGCAUGUGGGUCCUCCUGGAGCUGCUGCAUAUGAGGAUACCUCAAAAUGCAUCAAGCAAUACUGGAAUAGAAAGUGACUGGGAAACUGCUUGCAGAACCAAAGACAUCAAAAUGUAGCUAUCAUAACUCAGGUUAGCUCUUACACUGACCCUGGUUACUGGCAGCAAUGGAGGCCUGUUCUUUAUAUGUAUCAACUCGUUGGAUUCUCACAACUUCCUCCUGAGCUCAACACUCCUACAAAUAUUUAACCACCAGCAAGGUGGUUAGAAAAUCAGGACUUUGAUUCUCUGGCACAGAGUUGGAAUUAUUAAAAUGGCAGCAUUUCAGAAGGCAGCAACACCGACAAUAUGACUAUUUUAUAAUGAAGCCAUCAGCAGUAUGGGAGUUCACGGCCUUACACUAGUGUGGACAAAGUCAAUAUGACCAUUGGGUUACUGAGCAUGUCAGAAGUGCACUUCAUCCACACUCUUCCCACAAAAAUGAUCCAGAAUUGUUUGUGAACCACACAAUACAUAUAUAUUAUGGAGAAAGUAGGAAGUGCUGUUAAAUGAAAAGAAGAAAAGGAAGCUCUUCUUCUGUGAUUAUACCUUCUAGAGAGUACCACUGUUAAUAUUUGGGCAUCUAUUCCCCCAGAACUUGAAGAUGAUGAUGGAUGAGAGCUUCAUGGGAUGGGGACUGUUCUAAGCCCUGUCCUGUGGUUUUCCUGUGCCUACAACAGAGCUAGCACAAGAAAAAGAAAGGAAGAAAGAGAUUGCGGGCAUUGAUAGAACUCAACAGCCACUAAGGAUUGGAUGACUGCCCAGAAGACCAGAAAAAUCUCUAUUUUGACCGGUAAAAUCUCUAUUUUGACCGGUCGUGCCUUCAAUCAAUAAAUAUGUAUCAGGUAUUUACUAUGCACUGGAUACAAAGGCAAGCUGUUUUUCUCAGGAAGUGCACUCAUUGCAAAAUUAAUUUCUUUAGGAAAGCAUUUGGGUGACUGGGCGCUUC